rfam:Helianthus annuus linkage group 11, whole genome shotgun sequence.
AGUUCAUGUUGAGGACACUUUCAAAGCAUAACCUUAAAACAUUACCACGCCUCGUAUAGUGAUUCACCACAUCUUCUAGGGAAAAGGGGGAGAUAUAGUUCCUUAACUU